CGACUAGAAGUCCACCACGAUCAACAUAUUGUGCUUUUACUCGCUGCGGGCGAUAUUAUCGUAUAUUGUCCCACCCUACCGACCCCAAGACGUAAAGCCACCCCUCCCUGACGCUGCCAACCGACUGCAGCUUUACACCGAGAGUCAACAUUUCCGAUAACAACUGUUAAGCUUCUUCAUUGAUGACCACAACCUGCUUAACGGAAGAAGGAGCGGAAGAACACGAAACCAGGACGGGCCACCACAGACGCCCCGCUGAAAAAUGCCGAAAAGCACAUAAACCACGAAACCUAGCCAAAAGCAGUGGACACUCAGCUGUGUUGGCAGAAAAGCACCUAUGUGGGGGGAAAAAGCUUCAGCACCAUGGACAGCAACCAUAAUCACUCCAACCUGGAAGUGAAAAGUAUAGGACCAUGUGUGUAUGGAUCUGCCGGGUCACACAAACAUGUUGAGGUCAGCGGUGUCAAACUCAAAUGACCUUGAGGCCAGUGAGCAUCUAGUCUGGUCAAGAGGGAGCCGGACUAGAGAAAAAAAGUGGGAAAAUAAAGCAGUGAGACAACACGGGCCACACCAGAACAUGCACAUUCCCAGAGUGAUGGCCAAGUUUAUAACUCUGCUCCUCCGAGAGGCAGCCGAGGCCUUGGAGCAGCUAGAUUCACCCUGUCGAGGCAUUAGCUCAUGAAAAAUACCUCCCAUUAAUGAAUUUACUGUGGGUCACUCUAGAGACUGACAAGAUAGAGGAUGAUUGAGUGAGACUGUGGGUGUUGUUCAGCUCAUGUUUGCAGAUGCAGAGAAUGGACUCGCCCUCAGACCGACCUCUAAGAACAAUGUCAUGUCAUUUACGCAACUAUAUUUCUAACCCUCACAACCGUCUAUCAUCUUCACACAGUGGGGUAUUGAUUGGCAAAUAAAGGACAUUUAAUUUCUAUCUCAGCAGGCUGGUUGAGCCCAGCUGUCCUUCAGUCCCCCUUUUCUCAGUUUAAUGGAAUAUUCCAGGGAGAGAAAGGCAUACGCAGAGACUACAGAGAAGCAAGAAGUGAGUAGAUGUGUGCCGUCAACACCGCCACUCCACGGGGAAUGCUGAUUUGAUGAGUUCCUGUCAUGAAAUGUACAUGACAGUAAUGCACUGGGGAGUUCUCCCACCACUCAUUCACGCUGUCAUGUGAAUAUGAUUAAUCCUUUGUGAAGGAUGCCGUACUUAUAGAACACACCGUCGACGUUUCUACGUGCUGCGAGACACGUCUCCUCCGCACGGUGGAAGCAACAAAGUCAACGGUAUAAAAGUCACAAGACAUAGGACAUGAAAAGUAUAAAAAAAGUACUGGUUUUCUUCUUCACAAAAGAAAGGAAUAACAUGGAAACACUAAAAUAUGUUUUGUUCCUCAUAAAACUUUCAGUCUUUUGUUCCAACAACCAGUGGUUUAGGCCAAAAAAGGACACAUGUCCUGUAUUUCACUGUCCUCUUUACUACCAAAUGCAGUAAUAAUCAUUUAAUGGCCCGUUAAGGAUGUUCUUUGAUAGGAUAAAUGUUCCCUGCCCAUGGCUUACAGGGCAAAUCACAUAAAAAGUCUACUACUGCGGUUACUAUAUGACUCCCACCUCUCCAUACAAACGAUGACUCAUCUAUCUGCCUCAAGUUGACACUUUAAAGUGGACGUGUGUUGUGACUGUUAACAUCAUUCUGUCUACAGUUAAGAGCUGCUUCGGAUUACUAAUUUCAAAUUAAGUAAUGAAAAGAAAAAAUAAUCUUUUUGGACGAACCACCCUAAGAUCUAAAAGCAACAUCAAAUCAUUUGUCUUGUUUUACAGUGAAGUUUAUUAUUGGCUUGUUUACGUUUUUGCUCUGGAAUCAAGGGAAUAACUGACUGUUAAUUAAACACACUGUCAUUUCUAUCGCUAGGUUCCUCAGUCAAAUUAACAAUUCUCUUUACAGGGAGAACUUUGGUGGCAAAAUAAAAUAAAAUAAAAAGAUAACUCAGUGGCUAACUAGCAAUCCUGAAUAUAUCCUUUCUCACAAGCUGUAGACCUUAUUUUUUUUGGCAGAAACAUGUCCGGCCAUCAUUUAUGUAAGAGACUUCUAGUUCAGCAUGUCUGGUCAGUAGUUCACCCUGCAGGCAACAGACAACAGGUAUCAUGUGCACAGUCAGCAGUUGCUAUAACAGCAGUGGGUUUAAGCGAAAAAGGCUUCAAUGGAACGAGAGCGUUUUGAUCGUCAGCCGCAAA